GACGAACCGUGCGAACGUUAUUCGGAAUCACUGGGCUUAAAGCGCGUGUAGGCGGGCGGGAACGUCGGUCGUUUGAAAGCCCCCCGGCUCAACCGGGGAACGGGCGCCGAAACGACCCGCCUCGAGGGACGUAGGGGGACCUGGAACUUCCGGUGGAGCGGUGAAAUGCGUAGAGAUCGGAAAGAACACCAACGGCGAAAGCACUCUGCUGGGCCGACACUGACACUGAGAGACGAAAGCUAGGGGAGCGAAUGGG
rnacentral:rRNA from 1 species